GCUGUGGCUCAGUGGCAGAGCGCUUGCCGAGCAUGCACGAGGCACUGUGUUCAAUCCCAGGCACCGCA
rnacentral:tRNA from 1 species